UGUGCUGUGGCUUAGUUGGUUUAAGCGCCAUUCUAGCAAUACGGAGUCGUGAGUUCGAAUCCCACCAAAACAA
rfam:Aedes albopictus isolate Foshan contig38115, whole genome shotgun sequence.